GGGGGGUGCGAGCGUUGUCCGGAAUCACUGGGCGUAAAGGGCGCGUAGGUGGUUUGAUAAGGGUGUGGUGAAAGUCCGGGGCUCAACCCCGGAUCUGCCGUGCCGACUGUCAAACUCGAGGACUGUAGAGGCAGACGGAAUUCCGGGUGUAGCGGUGGAAUGCGUAGAGAUCCGGAGGAAGACCGGUGGCGAAGGCGGUCUGCUGGGCAGUUUCUGACACUGAGGCGCGACAGCGUGGGGAGCAAACAGGAUUAGAUACCCUGGUAGUCCACGCCGUAAACGAUGGGUACUAGGUGCCUGGGGGAGCGACCCUCUGGGUGCCGGCGCUAACGCAGGAAGUACCCCGCCUGGGGAGUACGACCGCAAGGUUG
rnacentral:rRNA from 1 species